rnacentral:rRNA from 1 species
AGAGUUUGAUCCUGGCUCAGGAUGAACGCUAGCGGCAGGCCUAAUACAUGCAAGUCGAACGGGCCGCAAGGUCAGUGGCAAACGGGUGCGUAACGCGUAAGCAACCUGCCCUCAACUGGGGGAUAGCCCGGCGAAAGCUGGGGUAAACCCGCACGGUCCAGUAAAAUCACCUGGUUUUACUGGUAAACAUUUAUGGGUUGAGGAGGGGCUUGCGUCUGAUUAGCUAGUUGGCGGGGUAACGGCCCACCAAGGCGAUGAUCAGUAGGGGUUCUGAGAGGAUUGGCCCCCACAUGGGUACUGAGAUACGGACCCAACUCCUACGGGAGGCAGCAGUAGGGAAUAUUGGGCAAUGGGCGCAAGCCUGACCCAGCCAUGCCGCGUGCAGGAUGAAGGCGCUCAGCGUUGUAAACUGCUUUUAUCGGUGAAGAAAACUUACCCUGCGGGGUGAAUUGACGGUAGCCGAGGAAUAAGCACCGGCUAACUCCGUGCCAGCAGCCGCGGUAAUACGGAGGGUGCAAGCGUUGUCCGGAUUUAUUGGGUUUAAAGGGUGCGUAGGUGGUCGUCUAAGUCUGGUUUUAAAGUUGGCUGCUUAACAGUCAAAGGUGGCUGGAAACUGGACGACUUGAAUGGGAUGGCGGUAGCCGGAAUGGGUCAUGUAGCGGUGAAAUGCAUAGAUAUGACCCGGAACACCGAUUGCGAAGGCAGGCUACUACGUCCCGAUUGACACUGAGGCACGAGAGCAUGGGUAGCGAACAGGAUUAGAUACCCUGGUAGUCCAUGCCGUAAACGAUGAUUACUGGCUGUGUGGUCUUUGGGCUGCGUGGCUGAGCGAAAGCGUUAAGUAAUCCACCUGGGAGUACGC